UGGUUGUGUUAAGACUUGCUCUUAUCCAAUCAGAACAUGAUCAUAAAGCCCAAUCAGAGUAAGCCUGGAGGUUUUUUUCUCAUCCAAUCAAAACAUGCAGUGCAGGAACCUCCAUAGGCAUAACCGCAGUAUAUAAAUGAUGCUGAAGCGUGAUCACGUUUUUUCAGGUUCCUGUAUCUUCCUGUCGAGUUGCUGGCUGCCCGAUGUAGAGGACUAGGAAUCAGGAGUCAGUGGCCGUAUGCUGGAGGCUGGAGCCGAGGGAGCGUGGCUCCCCUCGCUGUGGUUGUUGGCAGCAACGGAGAGAUAGCAGCGCGGCUGGAACGAAGGAACAUCUACAGGAACACCUGACGAGGCUGCACCCUUGGCAGGAAGAACACCUGACACGGCUGAAAGCUUGGUGGAAAAAACACCUGAUGAGGCUGCACCCUUAGUGGAGGGAACAUCUGACAAAAUUCAAUGUCUGGGGAAAGCAACAUCUGGAAAGUUUGAACAGUCAGCAGAAGAAUAUGUUAGGCCAUGUGUCUCUAUAACAGCUAUUGAACUCUGCAUUGUACAGUGAAAGCAGUCAUAGAUAAUGUGUGAGCAAAUAGGCAUGAUUGCACUCCAAUAAAACUUUGUAUAAAAAACCAUUUGGUAAGCUGAAUUUGGCCUGUGAUAUAUAGUUUCCUGGCCCUUCACACAGAAGAUAGAUGGAGUGUAAUUACAUAAAAAGUUUUAAAGACAAAGUAAGCUUUUGUAGUAGUUCAUGCUGUAGUCUUUUUUUUUUUUGUCACCAAUCUGUGGCCUAGUAUCAAUCUAUUAUGAAAAUCUGACCCAUCCAGGGUAAAAUGAAUCAAGUUCAGAAGCUCAAUUUACAGAUUUAAACCUGUAGGUCUUUCUUUGCCAUUAUUUUAUUUUGAUUUGUUUAACUGAAUUUUUUUUAACUUAAAAAAUAACAAUAGUAUUUGGUAGGGUUUCUUUUUCAUGGUGAAAGCCAUCAGUUAAGGGGCCAUGUCUAAGUAGGAAAUAUAAAUAUAACAUAAUAAUAAUAAUAAAAUAAUAAUAAAAAUGGCCUUCAGUUUCAUAUAUUAUUGGAUAUAUUUUCCUCCAGAAUUGGCAUUUCAGCUGAAGAUAAUGUGUGCUUCAAACUUGGAAAUAAAUAAUGCAUUUAAUUAUUUGAUUAAAGAUUGCACAGUGAAUUUAAUGAAGACAUUAUAGUCUUGUAAUGUAAUAUAAACUCAAUCUUCUACUCACAAACAACUUUAAGACAGAAUUUAGGAGGAAUGUCCUUUGGAAAAUUAUCUUUCCUUCCCCCACAGAUGAAUCAAAUAACCAAACGUACUGUUUGGAACAUUUCAUUUUAUCUGGAAUUAACCCUCUGUUGGCAUGUCUUCUUCAUCACUGAAAAUGUAAGAAAGCACAGCCUCAUCAUGAAAAUGCUGGGUAUCCACGUCUCACACAACUUAAAAAUCAUAAUGAGUUGCAGGUUUUAUUGUCAAGAAUUACCCUGUGCUUCAAAAAUGUGCUUGCUCCUUAUGAAGCAAUAUAAACCUUGUUUUUAAUCUUGCAAACUGUAUAUUCUAUUGGAUAUGUCUAUUAAAGAUAGAGUUAUGAGUGAACAAUAAAUGUCUUUCCUGAGAAAGGUGUAUUUUCUGUUGCACUUAGACCUGAAGGUGGUGUAGAAGAUACUUGGCCAAAACUGGGGCAAAGAGGGGUUCCUGUGAAGAAGCAACAGUGAGAGUCUGGUUAUCUACAUAUAAAAGAAUAAAACUGGACCCUUAGACUGUACACAAAAACAACUCAAGGUGGAUUAAAGGCCUACGUGUAAGACCUGAAACUAUAAAACUCCCAGAAGAAAACACAGAGAAAACAACUCCUUGAUAUGGGCCUUGACAAUGGUUUUUUGGCUAUUGGCUAUCACACCAAAAGCUCAGGCAACAAAAGCAAACAAGUGAGACUGCAUCAAACUAAAAAGCUUCUGCACAGCAAACACUCAACAAAAUGAAAAGGCAGCCUGCAGAAUGGGAGAGAAUAUUUACAAACCAUAUAUCAGAUAGGGGUUGAUAUGUGAAAUGAAAAUCUCACACAACUCAGUCAAAAAACAAUCCGACUGAUAAAUGGCCAAAGUAUCUGAAUAGACAUUAUUUAAAAAAGACAUACGAAGGGCAACAAGUAUAUGAAAAGGUGUUCAACAUCAUUAAUCAGAAAAAUGUUAAUCAAAACAACUAUAUCACUUCGCAACUGUUAGGAUGGUUAUUAUAUAAAAAAGAGAUAAGUGUGAUGAGGGUGUGGAAAAAGGAAACUCAUGUUCACUGUUGGUGGGAAAGUAAACUGAUACAGCCAUUUUGGGAAAUGGUAUGAAGGUUCCUCAAAAAUUUAAAAUGGAGCUACUGUAUGACUCCACAAUCCUCCUGCUGGGUAUAUACCCAAAGGAACUGAAAUCAGUAUAUGAAAGCUAUAUCUGUAUUCCCAUGUUUAUUGCGGUAUAAAUAACCAAUAGCCAAGCUAUGAAAACAAUUGGAUAAAGAAAUUAUGAUAUAUAGUUAUAACAUAUUAUAUAUCAUAUUAUAAUCUUAUAUACUCUGUAAUAAUAUAAAUAUUAUGAAUAUAGUAUUCAAUCUUAGAAAAAUUAAAAUUGCCAUUUUUGAUGAUAUGGAUGAACCUGGAUGGCAUUAUGCUAAGUGAAAUAAACCAGACAUGGAAAGAAAAAUACUUCAUGAUCUCACUUAUAUGUGCUAUCUAAAAACAAGCCAAGUAUAUAGAAACAGUAGAAUGGUGGCCAUCAGGGAUAAGGAUUAAGAGGAAAUGAAAAAAAGCAGAUCAAAGGGUACAAACUGGCAGUCAUGUAGG
rnacentral:lncRNA from 10 species